rnacentral:rRNA from 1 species
GUGGGGAAUCUUGCGCAAUGGGCGAAAGCCUGACGCAGCCAUGCCGCGUGAAUGAUGAAGGUCUUAGGAUUGUAAAAUUCUUUCACCGGGGACGAUAAUGACGGUACCCGGAGAAGAAGCUCCGGCUAACUUCGUGCCAGCAGCCGCGGUAAUACGAAGGGGGCUAGCGUUGCUCGGAAUUACUGGGCGUAAAGGGCGCGUAGGCGGACAGCUUAGUCAGAGGUGAAAGCCCAGGGCUCAACCUUGGAAUUGCCUUUGAUACUGGCUGUCUUGAGUACGGGGGAGGUGAGUGGAACUCCGAGUGUAGAGGUGAAAUUCGUAGAUAUUCGGAAGAACACCAGUGGCGAAGGCGACUCACUGGCCCGUUACUGACGCUGAGGCGCGAAAGCGUGGGGAGCAAACAGGAUUAGAAACCCUGGUAGUCC